rfam:Bordetella avium 197N complete genome
GCCGGUGUAGCUCAGUUGGUAGAGCAGCUCACUUGUAAUGAGAAGGUCGAGGGUUCGAUUCCUUUCACCGGCA